rnacentral:lncRNA from 1 species
CGUGGGGGACUAGUUGGGGGAUGGAUGGAUACAUUUACAUAAGAAGGAACACUAAUUUAAAAUAUGGGGUUUGUGCAAUCAAUGCCAUGGCUUCAUAUCCUACCAAGGAGUCAUCUGCACCAUCCCCAACAGCUCCACCACCACCUCCUACACCAGUGUCACCACCCCCUCCACCAACACCACCUACACCAGUGACACCACCGCCACCUCCCUCUCCUUCACCAAGUGACUGUGGAGACUUCUCCUAUUGUCCAAGUGAUGAGACAUGCUGUUGCCUCUUUGAAUUCUUGGACUACUGCCUCAUCUAUGGUUGCUGUGAAUAUCAGAAUGCGGUUUGCUGCACCGGAACUGACUACUGCUGCCCAAGUGAUUAUCCCAUUUGUGAUGUUGAAGAUGGUCUCUGCCUCAAGGUAUGGAAAUUCUAUCAUUGUUUCAUUUCAAUAUCUACUUGGUGUUUGACACUGAAAACCAACAUUAUAGUGUACUUCGCAAGUUGCAAACUAAUACUUAACCUAGUGUAGCAAGUUAUGAAGCAUAUUAGAAAAGGGAAAAAAGUCGUCAAGUGUAUACAGAAUCAUUUCAUUUACCUCUCAAAGUAGAUACAUAGAAUCAAUAGAGCCGGCCGUUAAACUAAUAACUAAUGUCUCUCAUAUUUUCAUUACACAGAAUGCGGGAGAUUUCUGGGGAGUGUCUGCAAAGAAGAGAAAAAUGGCCAAGCACAAGCUCCCAUGGACUAAAGUAGAGCAAACAGAGAAGACAUACCACCCACUGCAGUGGAAGAUGAACCGGUUUGCUGCAAUGCGCUGAAAAAGGGAAAGGAAGUUAUUGUUUCUGUGAAGUUUGAAGAAGGUUGUCACUAUUGGUAUUUAAAUUUAUGUAAAACAGGCAUUUGUUCCUCCUGUUUUGUUUUUUUGUUUUUUUAACAUAUGUUCUUGUGAACAUUGAUUCAUUAAACAUAUGCUGUAAACGAAACCUGAAACAGAAACAUAUUUGAGAAAAGUGAUUUUUCUCUGCGUGAUGCAACGGACAGAAUAAUUUGAUCGAUUACAGCUAAGUUUGAUGUAUUUUAUUUUCCAAUCUUGUAGCAGAUAAGGUUCAAGACAGAUUGAACAAUUGUUGUCCUGGCUUUGUAAUAUAUGUAUGGUCUUUAUACAAACCUAUUGUACUAAUUGCCAUUCUUCUAGCUCAACAACAAUUCUAAGCCAAUCAAAAAUUAGACAAAACAAAAUACAAUAUCCAUGUAGCUGAAAACUACCUUGUCCCAGUGCAUCACACUCAGUUACAACAGUGAGUACUUCUACAAGACAGACUUUCUUCCUUGACAAAGGACCUGAGGGUCCUAUUGGUAAUUUAUGAGGCUCAAUUGGAGUUGCAGAUUGCCUUGCCUCCUGUGAUCUCACUGUGGACUUGGGCUGCCUGCCAUGUUAUUGCUGAGCCCUCUGCUGCUACUGCAAGAGUUGCUUUCCUGGCUGAUGAUAUUGAGUUUUUUUCCCCAUCUAUUCUUCAUUAAAUAAAAACCUACUUGAUUCAUAUAUCAGAAAGAAAAGAAAAAGUUAAAUGUACUUUCUUGGUAUACAAGAGUAGAUUUGUAGACGUGUAAAACUAGGAAAUAAUUUCAAAUAAUUGUCUAAUUAUGAACAAUCAUCCUAAUCAUUCUAUCUGCUUAAUUGCAGGUAGUUAGAAUAAAAUCAUUAUCAAUCUGUUUGAACCAAUAUCUUCCAACAUCUUAUUCACAUUAACAGUGGUAUCUCUAACGAUACUUUUAUUUACAUGAAUUUUUUUACAACGGAAUAAUGCACUAACAACAAAAGUUACUGUCACCACAACGAGACUAGUCAUAACUUGAUCACAAAUAUUAUUGUCUUCCAUCUACACGAGUGGAAUUCAAACCUCUGGUUUUGAUAACUCAUUUGCUACUUCAAUUAAAUUGUUAUAACAAGGCAGUAACAUGGACCAACGAAGAUACAUCAUACGGGAGAGUCCCACUCCCCAAUCGAAUGUCGAAUGCCCGUAAUGUUCGGUUGACCCAGUCUAAUUACCAAAAUAACCCCAAUUAAGAACAACUUUUGGUCUGUAGGGUGGCCUCCGCAAUUUAAGGGAACUUUAGAAAAAGGCAUUGCUGAUUGACAAUCUAUUUUUAUUGAAGUUACCAUGUGGCUCUCUGCCAUAUCAUAUGUUAUGCCAUGUAUUUUGUAGACAUAUGAGACCCAGAAAAUAAUUCUACUUUUUUCAGUUUCAAAUUUCAACAACCCAACUUUGACAUUGUCCCAAAAAUAAUCUUGCCAUCCGGAGAUAAAAAAAAAGAAAAAAGACGGAAGUAGUGAGAGAAAGUCGCAUCAUCCAUCACAUGGCAAUGGGUCCAAAUAUGCUUUCAUUUUCCACUUUCAUGAUGAGGCUCUAUGAGCGACACACACUGCCUCAUCAAAUCAUUUGAGUUUCUGUUACAUUUUCGGAGCUUUUCUCCUAAUUUUCUUUUUCACCACUAAGUUGUAAAUUAAUCAAUUAAUUUUUGAUUUAGUAAAAAGAAAAAAGAAAAAAAAGAUUGAGUAUGAUUUAUAAAGUUGCCACGCGGACAAGGAGUCAGAGAGUGGACUGAAAAGUCUGAAAGUUGAAAUAAUAAAUAAAUAGGUCGGUCCACUAAGUUUGGCAGGAUUGAAGAAAUAAAGGAAAGGAAAGAGAUUUGGAUCAGCAACGGUCUCUGUUCCGCAACCGUAAUGUCCGUGACCACACCUCUUCUCCUCCAAAGGUCUCAAUCCCGAUUUAAUUAUUUUAGGCUUUCAUAAAUAACCCAGCAAGAAUCAAUGGAUGAAUAAAAAUCCCAUAACAAGAAAGAUUGAAAGAUCAAAACUUUAUGGAGGAGGAGAGGAGGGGACCACGUUUCUAGGAACAAGCAAGCAAGCAAAGCAAGGCAGAACAGAGCAAAAUGAUCAAAUGUACCGUACAAUGUUACAAUGCAGUAUAGCAGCCAGCAGUAGUUUUAUCUUCUGCAUGUGUUUGGUCUUAGUCUACUUUACUCUCUCUCUCCUCUGUUCCGACAAUCCAUAUACACUCUUCGAAAAGUUAAAAACCACAUACAUACUCAGCUUCUUCCACCUCUCUCUCUCUCUCAUCCUUUGGCUUUGCUUUUCUUUGGUUACACUCAUUCCCCAAACUCUACGGCAUCAUUCUCGGAGCCAAAUAUCAGCAGGCUCAAAGCAAUCUCUCGCUCUCUCUCUCUCUCUCUCUCUC